GAUGAACGCUGGCGGCGUGCCUAAUACAUGCAAGUCGAGCGAACGGACGAGAAGCUUGCUUCUCUGAUGUUAGCGGCGGACGGGUGAGUAACACGUGGAUAACCUACCUAUAAGACUGGGAUAACUUCGGGAAACCGGAGCUAAUACCGGAUAAUAUUUUGAACCGCAUGGUUCAAUAGUGAAAGACGGUCUUGCUGUCACUUCUCGCUGGAUCCGCGCUGCAUUAGCUAGUUGUUAAGGUAACGGCUUACCACGGCAACGAUGCAUAGCCGACCUGAGAGGGUGAUCGGCCACACUGGAACUGAGACACGGUCCAGACUCCUACGGGAGGCAGCAGUACGGAAUCUUCCGCAAUGGGCGAAAGCCUGACGGAGCAACGCCGCGUGAGUGAUGAAGGUCUUCGGAUCGUAAAACUCUGUUAUUAGGGAAGAACAUAUGUGUAAGUAACUGUGCACAUCUUGACGGUACCUAAUCAGAAAGCCACGGCUAACUACGUG
rnacentral:rRNA from 1 species